rnacentral:miRNA from 1 species
UAAGACAGAAAUAUUUUUAAAAAUUUCUUUACUGAAAAUAUAGAAUAUUUUUUAAUAAAAAAAUUCUUAAAAAUAUUUUAAAAUUU